rnacentral:rRNA from 1 species
CAGUCGCCGCGGUAAUACGUAGGGUGCAAGCGUUAAUCGGAAUUACUGGGCGUAAAGCGUGCGCAGGUGGUUUGUUAAGACAGAUGUGAAAUCCCCGGGCUCAACCUGGGAACUGCAUUGGUGACUGGCAGACUAGAGUAUGGCAGAGGGUGGUGGAAUUCCGGGUGUAGCAGUGAAAUGCGUAGAUAUGCGGAGGAACAUCGAUGGCGAAGGCAGCCACCUGGACCAAUACUGACGCUCAGGCACGAAAGCGUGGGGAGCAAACAGGAUUAGAUACCCCAGUAGUCCCUGUCUCUUAUAC